rfam:Klebsormidium nitens DNA, contig: KFL_103.
GCACCGGUGGUCUAGUGGUAGAAUAGUACCCUGCCAACUGACGUCACCACGACGCAAGCGAGCUCGGUACAGACCCGGGUUCGAUUCCCGGCCGGUGCA